AAGACCAGUGUGAACAUCUGUUGUGGAAGUCUUUUUCCUGAUUACCAUCUCUUAAAACAAGAAGAUCCGUUUAAAGAAGUCGUGAAAUCUUCAAAAUUAAACAGUGAUGUUUGUGUAAAAACAAAUAUAAAUGGAAGUAACAUAAAACAAUCUAAUAUACAUGAAGGUGAUGAUAAACCAUACAGUUAUGUAACAUGUGGAAAGGAAAGUGUAACAUUGGAUAACGUAAAACAAUCUAAUAUACAUGAAGGUGAUGAUAAACCAUACAGUUAUGUAACAUGUGGAAAGGAAAGUGUAACAUUGGA